rnacentral:rRNA from 1 species
UGAGGAACAUGACCUUCGGCGGGGGAUAGCCGGCCCGACGGCCGGGUAAUACCGCGUACGACCGUCUAGGGACAUCCCUGGAUGGUGAAAGCAGCAAUGCGCCGAUGGAGUGCCUCGCGGCCUAUCAGCUAGUUGGUGAGGUAACGGCUCACCAAGGCAACGACGGGAAGCUGGUCUGAGAGGAUGGCCAGCCACAUUGGGACUGAGACACGGCCCAGACUCCUAGGGACGG